UACUCCUACGGGAGGCAGCAGUAGGGAAUCUUCCGCAAUGGACGAAAGUCUGACGGAGCAACGCCGCGUGAGUGAUGAAGGCUUUCGGGUCGUAAAACUCUGUUGUUAGGGAAGAACAAGUACGAGAGUAACUGCUCGUACCUUGACGGUACCUAACCAGAAAGCCACGGCUAACUACGUGCCAGCAGCCGCGGUAAUACGUAGGUGGCAAGCGUUAUCCGGAAUUAUUGGGCGUAAAGCGCGCGCAGGCGGUUUCUUAAGUCUGAUGUGAAAGCCCACGGCUCAACCGUGGAGGGUCAUUGGAAACUGGGGAACUUGAGUGCAGAAGAGAAAAGCGGAAUUCCACGUGUAGCGGUGAAAUGCGUAGAGAUGUGGAGGAACACCAGUGGCGAAGGCGGCUUUUUGGUCUGUAACUGACGCUGAGCGCGAAGUCACCCCC
rnacentral:rRNA from 1 species